UUGAGAUAUUUGUUAACUUGACAAAAAAAAAAGCUCAAGUCUAUCAAAGCAAUGUAGCCAGGUUUGCCAGUUUUGAUUUACAAGCCUAACAAGGCAGGUUAUUAUGAGUCAGAUGAAUAAUGAAAUAACGAACUGCAGUCUGAUUCUUAUUGUAAAUGUGUUUCUUCCUAUUGAGCAGUGAAAGUAAAUAAAAGCAUGCUACAUGUC